rnacentral:rRNA from 1 species
AUUGAACGCUGGCGGCAGGCCUAACACAUGCAAGUCGAGCGGGGUUUUCGGACCUAGCGGCGGACGGGUGAGUAAUGCGUAGGAAGCUGCCCGAUAGAGGGGGAUACCAGUUGGAAACGACUGUUAAUACCGCAUAAUGUCUACGGACCAAAGUGUGGGACCUUCGGGCCACAUGCUAUCGGAUGCGCCUCCGUGGGAUUAGCUGGUUGGUGAGGUAAUUGCUCACCAAGGCGACGAUCUCUAGCUGGUUUGAGAGGAUGAUCAGCCACACUGGAACUGAGACCCGGUCCAGACUCCUACUGGAGGCAGCAGUGGGGAAUAUUGGACAAUGGGCGCAAGCCUGAUCCAGCCAUGCCGCGUGUGUGAAGAAGGCCUUCGGGUUGUAAAGCACUUUCAGCGAGGAGGAAGGGGUGUGUGUUAAUAGUACACACCUUUGACGUUACUCGCAGAAGAAGCACCGGCUAACUCUGUGCCAGCCGCCGCAGUAAGAC